AUGACUUUACCAGUUGGCGAUUGGCUCUUAUUUAGAAGGCGGGACUUAUUCCGCCAUAUUGCGCGUUACACUUUCUCCCAUUCAAAACAAUACGAGUGAAGCGUCUUGUGUUAUUCUGUAGUCUUUGGCUUUAUUCGGAAAGUCAAGAAAGUACCAAAGAACAAUCCAGUAAGUUGUGGGAAUCACUAUCAAGCACCAUUUAAAGGUGGGACGUCCUGUUCUGACACAUGGUCACAGGAGCACAAUGUGUGAGAAGGCAAGAUUAUUUGCUUUAGUAAUCUUAUUUAAAAUGACAUGAACUGUACAUAGAAAUAUGUGUGUAUGAAGGCGUAGAGAAGCCUUUUGUCAGGUUUUAUAAAUUAAAAAAAUUAUUUUGCAUGUUCAGAAAUUCAGUUUUUCUUUUUGUUGCCUCAGGGCAACUUUGUGCGAUAAGGGAUACUUUUGGAGGAUGUUUUGGACAAUACCUCACAUUGGCAAUAAUGUAUUAUAAGAAGGGAAGAUGCAGGGUUCCUGGGUGCACGGGAACACCCAAAGUGAUGUGAAAAAAAGUGUAACAUACACCUCUAUUUCACAGCAGAGAAGAACUGCUUUUAGAAGUUUUGUACGCAGUGAAAUCUUAUUACAUGAAGUACAUUUUAUGGCAUGACACUUCAUGAUACAGACCUAUGCAUGUAUCAGAUUCAAUAUAUCAAUGUCUUUCAAGUGUCUUUCCCUUUUUACUUAAUGAUUUCUUGACAUUU